rnacentral:rRNA from 1 species
GCCAGAGAAUUACAAGACAAGACUCAAAACUCAAAGGACUUGACGGUGUCCCAAACCAACCUAGAGGAGCCUGUCCUAUAAUCGAUAAUCCACGUUCCACCCCACCCCCCCUUGAAAUCAGCCUGUAUACCGCCGUCUUCCAGUUCACCUUAUGACAGACCAAAAGCGAACACAACAGCUCACCACUAAGACGUCAGGUCAAGGUGCAGCCAAUGAGGGGGUAGCGAUGGGCUACAUUUUCUACCACAACAGAACACCACCAGCCACCACAUGAAAUAUGGGUUACAAGGCGGAUUUAGCAGUAAGCCAGACAAGAGUGCCUGACUGAAGCCUGCUCUGGG